rnacentral:rRNA from 1 species
AGUUGCAGACUCCAAUCCGGACUACGACGCACUUUUUGGGAUUCGCUCACUUUCGCAAGUUGGCCGCCCUCUGUAUGCGCCAUUGUAGCACGUGUGUAGCCCUACUCGUAAGGGCCAUGAUGACUUGACGUCGUCCCCACCUUCCUCNGNUUUAUCACCGGCAGUCUCCCUGGAGUUCCCGACAUUACUCGCUGGCAAACAAGGAUAAGGGUUGCGCUCGUUGCGGGACUUAACCCAACAUUUCACAACACGAGCUGACGACAGCCAUGCAGCACCUGUCUCAGAGUUCCCGAAGGCACCAAUCCAUCUCUGGAAAGUUCUCUGGAUGUCAAGAGUAGGUAAGGUUCUUCGCGUUGCAUCGAAUUAAACCACAUGCUCCACCGCUUGUGCGGGCCCCCGUCAAUUCAUUUGAGUUUUAAUCUUGCGACCGUACUCCCCAGGCGGUCUACUUAACGCGUUAGCUCCGAAAGCCACGGCUCAAGGCCACAACCUCCAAGUAGACAUCGUUUACGGCGUGGACUACCAGGGUAUCUAAUCCUGUUUGCUCCCCACGCUUUCGCAUCUGAGUGUCAGUAUCUGUCCAGGGGGCCGCCUUCGCCACCGGUAUUCCUUCAGAUCUCUACGCAUUUCACCGCUACACCUGAAAUUCUACCCCCCUCUACAGUACUCUAGUCUGCCAGUUUCAAAUGCUAUUCCGAGGUUGAGCCCCGGGCUUUCACAUCUGACUUAACAAACCACCUGCAUGCGCUUUACGCCCAGUAAUUCCGAUUAACGCUCGCACCCUCCGUAUUACCGCGGCUGCUGGCACGGAGUUAGCCGGUGCUUCUUCUGUCGCUAACGUCAAAUAAUGCAGCUAUUAACUACACNACCUUCCUCACGACUGAAAGUGCUUUACAACCCGAAGGCCUUCUUCACACACGCGGCAUGGCUGCAUCAGGCUUGCGCCCAUUGUGCAAUAUUCCCCACUGCUGCCUCCCGU